UCAUUAGACCUUGAUGAAUGCCCCCGCCC
rnacentral:piRNA from 1 species